rnacentral:rRNA from 1 species
GAGUCAGCACCCGCAGGCCCGAAACCGGGUGAUCUACCCGUGCCCAGGCCGAAGCCGCCGUAAAGGGCGGUGGAGGGCCGAACGCACAUCCGUUGAAAAGGGUGGCGAUGAGGUGCGGGUAGGGGAGAAAUUCCAACCGAACCCGGAGAUAGCUGGUUCUCCCCGAAAUAGCUUUAGGGCUAGCCCCGCCGCAGCCUGGCGGAGGUAGAGCACUGGAUUCCCGCGGGGGCGUCAAAGCCUACCAAAGGAUACCAAACUCCGAAUGCCGCGCAGGCGGUCGGCGGGAGUCAGGCCGCACGAGACAAGUCGGGCGGCCGAGAGGGGAAGAGCCCGGACCCGCGGCCAAGGCCCCCAAGUGCAUGUUAAGUGGGAAAGGAUGUGGGGCUUCGAAGACAGCUAGGACGUUGGCCCAGAAGCAGCCACGCAUUGAAAGAGUGCGUAACAGCUCACUAGCCGAGAGGCCCCGCGCCGAAAAUGUCCGGGGCUGAAACAUGCCGCCGAAGCCCGGGGCGCCGCUUUUUUAAGCGGCGCGGUAGGGGAGCGUUGCCGGCGCAGGGAAGCCGCACCGUGAGGGGCGGUGGAGCGCCGGGAAGAGAGAAUGCCGGAAUGAGUAGCGAGAGGGGGGUGGGAAUCCCCCCGGCCGAAUAUCCGAGGUUUCCAGGGUGAAGCUCGUCUUCCCUGGGUGAGUCGGGGCCUAAGGCGAGGCCGGAGGGCGUAGCCGAUGGACAGCAGGUGGAGAUUCCUGCACUGCGCGCGGCCAGAAGAUGCGGGGACGCGCGCGCGAGGCGCAUGCCGGGCGGGGGAAGCCCGGCGUGCGGCGCGGGGGGAGGGGCAGCGAAGAGGGCCCCGUGAAUCCUUAUGCGCCGCACGGACCGAAGAAGAGUAGGGAAGAGCGCUGAGCGCGCGCCGAGAAAAGCCGCUAUGGCGCCGCGCGCACCCGUACCGCAGACCGACACAGGUGGAUGGGGAGAGGAUCCUCAGGCCGACGGGAGAAGCACUGCCAAGGAACUCGGCAAAAUGGUCCCGUAACCUAGGGAGAAGGGACGCCCCCGAGAGGGGGCCGCAGGGAAGAGGCCCAAGCAACUGUUUAGCAAAAACACAGGUCUGUGCGAAGCCGCAAGGCGAGGUAUACGGGCUGACGCCUGCCCGGUGCUGGAAGGUCAAGAGGAGGCGUUAGCCGCGAGGCGAGGCGCCGAACCCAAGCCCCAGUAAACGGCGGCCGUAACUAUAACGGUCCUAAGGUAGCGAAAUUCCUUGGCGGGUAAGUUCCGCCCCGCACGAAAGGCGUAAUGAUUUGGGCGCUGUCUCGGCAGUGCACCCGGUGAAAUUGAAGUGCCAGUGAAGAUGCUGGCUACCUGCGCCAGGACGGAAAGACCCCAUGGAGCUUCACUCCAGCCAGGUGCUGGGGUCUGGUGCCGCACGUACAGGAUAGGCGGGAGGCAAUGAAGGGGGGACGCCAGUCCCCCCGGAGCCGCCGUUGGGAUACCGCCCCUGCGGCACCGGCCCCCUAACCCGCGCCCCUGAACCGGGGCGGGGGACACCGCCCGGCGGGGAGUUUGACUGGGGCGGUCGCCUCCGAAAGGGUAUCGGAGGCGCUCAAAGGUCACCUCAGGAUGGACGGGAACCAUCCGUAGAGCGCAAAGGCAGAAGGUGGCCCGACUGCGACACCGACGGGUGGGGCAGGCGCGAAAGCGGGACUUAGUGAUCCGGUGGCGGGGAGUGGGACCGCCAUCGCUCAACGGACAAAAGCUACCCUGGGGAUAACAGGCUUAUCACCCCCAAGAGUCCACAUCGACGGGGUGGUUUGGCACCUCGAUGUCGGCUCAUCGCAUCCUGGGGCCGCAGCAGGUCCCAAGGGUUGGGCUGUUCGCCCAUCAAAGCGGUACGCGAGCUGGGUUCAGAACGUCGUGAGACAGUUCGGUCCCUAUCCGGCGCAGGCGCGGGAGACCUGAGGGGAGCCGUCCCCAGUACGAGAGGACCGGGACGGACGGGCCGCUGGUGCACCUGUUGGGGGGCCGCCCCCACGGCAGGGUAGCCAAGCCCGGCAGGGAUAAGCGCUGAAGGCAUCUAAGCGCGAAGCCCUCCCCGAGA